GACGAACGCUGGCGGCGUGCCUAAUACAUGCAAGUUGAGCGCUGAAGGUUGGUACUUGUACCAACUGGAUGAGCAGCGAACGGGUGAGUAACGCGUGGGGAAUCUGCCUUUGAGCGGGGGACAACAUUUGGAAACGAAUGCUAAUACCGCAUAAAAACUUUAAACACAAGUUUUAAGUUUGAAAGAUGCAAUUGCAUCACUCAAAGAUGAUCCCGCGUUGUAUUAGCUAGUUGGUGAGGUAAAGGCUCACCAAGGCGAUGAUACAUAGCCGACCUGAGAGGGUGGUCGGCCACAUUGGGACUGCGACACGGCCCAAACUCCUACGGGAGGCAGCAGUAGGGAAUCUUCGGCAAUGGACGAAAGUCUGACCGAGCAACGCCGCGUGAGUGAAGAAGGUUUUCGGAUCGUAAAACUCUGUUGGUAGAGAAGAACGUUGGUGAGAGUGGAAAGCUCAUCAAGUGACGGUAACUACCCAGAAAGGGACGGCUAACUACGUG
rnacentral:rRNA from 1 species